ACUGGUGUGACUCAGUUGGUAGAGCAUGGUGCUUGCAAGGCCAGGGUUGUGGGUUCGAUUCCCACAGGGGGACCGGUA
rnacentral:tRNA from 1 species